rnacentral:rRNA from 1 species
AUACGUAGGGGGCGAGCGUUGUCCGGAAUGAUUGGGCGUAAAGGGCGCGUAGGCGGCCGCUUAAGUCUGGAGUGAAAGUCCUGUUUUCAAGAUGGGAAUUGCUUUGGAUACUGCCGCGCUUGAGUGCAGGAGAGGCUAUCGGAAUUCCCGGUGUAGCGGUGAAAUGCGUAGAGAUCGGGAGGAACACCAGUGGCGAAGGCGGGUAACUGGACUGCAACUGACGCUGAGGCGCGAAAGUGUUGGGAGCAAACAGGAUUAGAUACCCUGGUAGUCCACACUGUAAACGAUGAAUGCUAGGUGUAAGAGGUAUCGACCCCUUUUGUGCCGGAGUUAACACAAUAAGCAUUCCGCCUGGGGAGUACGGCCGCAAGGUUGAAACUCAAAUGAAUUGACGGGG